GGGAGUGUAGCUCAGUUGGUAGAGCAGUGGACUUUUAAUCCAUUGGCCGGUCGGUUCAAAUCCGCCCGCUCCCACCA
rnacentral:tRNA from 2 species